rnacentral:rRNA from 1 species
UACAGAGGUCCCAAGCGUUGUUCGGAUUCACUGGGCGUAAAGGGUGCGUAGGUGGUGAGGUAAGUCGGAUGUGAAAUCUCCGGGCUCAACCCGGAAAUGGCAUUGGAAACUACCUUGCUGGAGGAUUUGAGGGGGGAUUGGAAUACUUGGUGUAGCAGUGAAAUGCGUAGAUAUCGGAAGGAACACCUGUGGCGAAAGCGGCUCACUGGACCACAACUGACGCUGAUGCACGAAAGCUAGGGGAGCAAACAGG